rnacentral:rRNA from 1 species
AUGAACGCUGGCGGCGUGCCUAAUACCUGCCAGUCGAGCGAACGGACGAGAAGCUUGCUUCUCUGAUGUUAGCGGCGGACGGGUGAGUAACACGUGGAUAACCUACCUAUAAGACUGGGAUAACUUCGGGAAACCGGAGCUAAUACCGGAUAAUAUUUUGAACCGCAUGGUUCAAAAGUGAAAGACGGUCUUGCUGUCACUUAUAGAUGGAUCCGCGCUGCAUUAGCUAGUUGGUAAGGUAACGGCUUACCAAGGCAACGAUGCAUAGCCGACCUGAGAGGGUGAUCGGCCACACUGGAACUGAGACACGGUCCAGACUCCUACGGGAGGCAGCAGUAGGGAAUCUUCCGCAAUGGGCGAAAGCCUGACGGAGCAACGCCGCGUGAGUGAUGAAGGUCUUCGGAUCGUAAAACUCUGUUAUUAGGGAAGAACAUAUGUGUAAGUAACUGUGCACAUCUUGACGGUACCUAAUCGGAAAGCCACGGCUAACUACGUG